rnacentral:rRNA from 1 species
UACGGGGGGGGCAAGCGUUGUUCGGAAUUACUGGGCGUAAAGGGCGCGUAGGCGGUUUGCUAAGUUGGAUGUGAAAACUCUGGGCUUAACCCAGAGCCUGCAUCCAAAACUGGCAAACUUGAGUACUGGGGGGGAAAGCGGAAUUCCUGGUGUAGCGGUGAAAUGCGUAGAUAUCAGGAGGAACACCGGUGGCGAAGGCGGGUCUCUGGGCAGUAACUGACGCUGAGGAGCGAAAGCGUGGGGAGCGAACAGG